UAGGGAAUCUUCCGCAAUGGACGCAAGUCUGACGGAGCAACGCCGCGUGAGUGAAGAAGGAUUUCGGUUCGUAAAACUCUGUUGUUAGAGAAGAACAGCGCAUAGAGUAACUGUUAUGCGUGUGACGGUAUCUAACCAGAAAGCCACGGCUAACUACGUGCCAGCAGCCGCGGUAAUACGUAGGUGGCAAGCGUUGUCCGGAUUUAUUGGGCGUAAAGCGAGCGCAGGCGGUUAGAUAAGUCUGAAGUUAAAGGCAGUGGCUCAACCAUUGUAGGCUUUGGAAACUGUUUAACUUGAGUGCAGAAGGGGAGAGUGGAAUUCCAUGGGUAGCGGUGAAAUGCGUAGAUAUAUGGAGGAACACCGGUGGCGAAAGCGGCUCUCUGGUCUGUAACUGACGCUGAGGCUCGAAAGCGUGGGGAGCGAACAGG
rnacentral:rRNA from 1 species